rnacentral:rRNA from 1 species
UGGGGAAUAUUGCACAAUGGGCGGAAGCCUGAUGCAGCGACGCCGCGUGAGGGAUGACGGCCUUCGGGUUGUAAACCUCUUUCAGUAGGGAAGAAGCGAAAGUGACGGUACCUGCAGAAGAAGCGCCGGCUAACUACGUGCCAGCAGCCGCGGUAAUACGUAGGGCGCAAGCGUUAUCCGGAAUUAUUGGGCGUAAAGAGCUCGUAGGCGGUUUGUCGCGUCUGCCGUGAAAGUCCGGGGCUCAACUCCGGAUCUGCGGUGGGUACGGGCAGACUAGAGUGAUGUAGGGGAGACUGGAAUUCCUGGUGUAGCGGUGAAAUGCGCAGAUAUCAGGAGGAACACCGAUGGCGAAGGCAGGUCUCUGGGCAUUAACUGACGCUGAGGAGCGAAAGCAUGGGGAGCGAACAGG